rnacentral:pre_miRNA from 1 species
CCUGUGUCCUAAAAUAAGUUUUAUACGUGACCGUUCUUCUUAUUUAAAUUUUUUUAUGAUUAAUAAUUUUAUUGUUAUUAAACGACAAAACAUAAAUAAUACUUUAUACGUGACUAUUUUUUUUUAUAAAUUUUUUAAAUAAAACAUACGGUCAAAUGUUAGACACAGAAAUCCACGGCUACACUAAUU